AAACAGAACACGGGUGAGGUGCCGUUUUGUCCGAAGCGACACAUUUGCAGAAGGCAGGGACUCCUGCGAGGAAAGCGUGGCCCGGCCCGUGUCUGGAGAUGGUGCGGGGCUCACGUCCCCGACCGUCACUGCCUGUGCACAGCCGCACGGCCAGUGCCCGGGCUGCCACCGCGCAGGCUGGGGGCCUCGCAAGCAAGCUCGAGGCCUUUGAAGUGCACACAGUUGGCGGCUUCCUGCCUGUGGCUGAUGCUGCUCGCAGACACCGAGAAAGGCCUGGCGUCCCUCCUAAGCGGCUCUUCCAAUAACUGCGUGUCCUCAGCCUUCCAUCCGAGACUCGCCUGCUGCUGGCCCGGGUCUCGCAGAAAAGAGCAUGGCGACUGUGCGUCAUCCUGACAGGGACGCCUGGAGAAGACAGGGCACCCCCCCCACCCGCUGGGCGCACAGCCCAGCCACUGGCGGGCGUCGGCUUCCUGUGGUGCCUUCUGCCAGACAAGGACCAACCUCAGAGGAGAUGGUGGCGCCCUGGAGGCAGUGGGCCGGGCAGGCGUGGCCCGAGGCUCCCCUCUGGGCGCCCCAUGGGGCCUCCACUCGCGCAGUCUCUGGGCUCCCCGCCUGGUGCUGUUGACACGCAGGAGCCACGUGACGGCUCUCAUCUGCUGGGAGGAUGGGGGCCGGCUGUGGGCCCGGCUUUUCCUGCCAAAGUCCCUCUUCCAGAGGGGACAGUGUCAGGCUGCCGCUCGGGAGGCCACGGUUGCCUUUGUGGUGCCGCUCACACCCCCUGUUUGAUAAACAGUCUCCUGAUGAGUAACGGCCCACCCUCUUCCUUCCCUGCACGCCUGACCCCCCGCCGUGAUGGUAAACGUGGCACAGGCACCCACGCCCUGCCGGAAACCCCAGGAUUCAUUUUGGGAAACGCUUUUACAAUUAAAGUCUUUCGAGAAAUUGC